rnacentral:rRNA from 1 species
UGGCCUUGACAUAGUAGAGACUUUCCAGAGAUGGAUUGGUGCCUUCGGGAAUCUACAUACAGGUGCUGCAUGGCUGUCGUCAGCUCGUGUCGUGAGAUGUUGGGUUAAGUCCCGCAACGAGCGCAACCCUUUUCCUUACUUGCCAGCAUUUCGGAUGGGAACUUUAAGGAUACUGCCAGUGACAAACUGGAGGAAGGCGGGGACGACGUCAAGUCAUCAUGGCCCUUACGGCCAGGG